AUUGAACGCUGGCGGCAGGCUUAACACAUGCAAGUCGAGCGAGAGGCGGACGGGUGAGUAAUGUAUGGGGACUGCCCGAUAGAGGGGGAUAACUACUGGAAACGGUAGCUAAUACCGCAUACUCUCGGCUAACCCCUAUGGGAUUAGCUAGUAGGUGGGGUAAUGGCUCACCUAGGCGACGAUCCCUAGCUGGCCUGAGAGGAUGAUCAGCCACACUGGGACUGAGACACGGCCAGGACUCCUACGGAGGCAGCAGUGGGGAAUAUUGGACAAUGGGCGCAAGCCUGAGGCAGCCAGGCCGCGUGUAUGAAGAAGGCCCUAGGGUGGUAAAGGACUUUUAGUCGGGAGGCGUUACCGACAGAAGAAGCACCGGCUAACUCCGUGCCAGCAGCCGCGGUAAUAC
rnacentral:rRNA from 1 species